rnacentral:lncRNA from 1 species
AGGCAGUCUGGCUGCAACAUCUGUCACUCCUUUAAUUGCCAAGGUUGUUUCAGCUGAUCUGACUAGCUAGGCAAGUGUCCACUUCCCACCUCACCUCUCCAUGUGUGCCCCUCCCAAAGCUGCACACUCAGUCAAGGAGGACAACCUUCCCUAGUAAGGAGGACCGUUCUUUGGUCAGGGGUAUGUGAGUAGUUACAGUCCCCUGCUAGGACCUCCAAA